CACCUUGAGAUAAAGUAUUGAUUGCUUUUUAGUUGUGAUUUUGGUUUACAUAAAUUGUUGUCUCUUCAGUCAGAAAACAUGUGUAGGCCAAGUGUUAACACAUCGUGAUGCCAGGGCUUCCAGUGGGUCAGCAGUCGUUCCUCUCUUUCUGACAAGUGUGCUUUAACAGUUGUCUCUGCCCUGGUUUUCCAGAAAAGAAGAAAAGGUGGGGAUGAAAAUUUAAACUACCGCAAAUACUGACACUUUUGUUUUAUGAAUUAUGAAUUGAGUUUGGUAAGAAUUUUCCUUUGCGUCUGUCAGAUUGUAAACUCUUUUUCAGAUAGAGCAUUGUUUGAUACCUUCUUUGUCUUUUAUUUCCAUGUUGAAAUAAAGCCUUGAGGAGCUUACAGCAGAAACUUCUAUACCUGGUAGAAUGAAUUAUUGACGGUCAUCCUCUUACACAUGGCACAACUGGACAAAGGGAAUGCUCUGCUCAGUGCAAAACAGCUGGGGAGAGAAAGAGAAGGAAACCUAUUUUUCAGAGUUCAUGUCUGGUCACUAGUAGUAAAGUAUAGAGCUAUGUGGGAGCGCACAUGCCUGUCUCUGCUGCUCUCUUAAUAAAGCCAGGUAUUUUUUUCACUGUAAGAGUCAUCCAAAACAGACCCAACGACCUGGCCACCAGCCCACAAAACUGAUGGUUAAGGUGAAUGAUUCUGAGCAGGACACUGCUGAAGUUUAGUGGUUUUUAACCAGGUGACCUUAACUAAUUUUACAGUAAGCCUAAGUAAAAAAUGGUAGCAGAUAAAUACAGC
rnacentral:lncRNA from 1 species